rnacentral:rRNA from 1 species
UACGGAGGAUCCGAGCGUUAUCCGGAUUUAUUGGGUUUAAAGGGUGCGUAGGUUGUUUGAUAAGUCAGCGGUGAAAUUUUGCAGCUCAACUGUAAAACUGCCGUUGAAACUGUCAGACUUGAGUGUAAACGAGGUAGGCGGAAUGCGUGGUGUAGCGGUGAAAUGCAUAGAUAUCACGCAGAACUCCGAUUGCGAAGGCAGCUUACCAGGCUACAACUGACACUGAAGCACGAAAGCGUGGGGAUCAAAC